CCUACGGGAUGCAGCAGUGAGGAAUAUUGGUCAAUGGACGCAAGUCUGAACCAGCCAUGCCGCGUGCAGGAAGACGGCUCUAUGAGUUGUAAACUGCUUUUGUACGAGGGUAAACGCAGAUACGCGUAUCUGUCUGAAAGUAUCGUACGAAUAAGGCUCGGCUAACUCCGUGCCAGCAGCCGCGGUAAUACGGAGGAUUCAAGCGUUAUCCGGAUUUAUUGGGUUUAAAGGGUGCGUAGGCGGUCGGAUAAGUUAGAGGUGAAAUCCCGAGGCUCAACUUCGGAAUUGCCUCUGAUACUGUUCGGCGAGAGAGUAGUUGCGGUAGGCGGAAUGUAUGGUGUAGCGGUGAAAUGCUUAGAGAUCAUACAGAACACCGAUUGCGAAGGCAGCUUACCAAGCUACUUCUGACGUUGAGGCACGAAAGCGUGGGGAGCAAACAGGAUUAGAUACCCGAGUAGUC
rnacentral:rRNA from 1 species